UACGAAGGGGGCUAGCGUUGCUCGGAAUCACUGGGCGUAAAGCGCACGUAGGCGGACUCUUAAGUCGGUGGUGAAAUCCUGGAGCUCAACUCCAGAACUGCCUUCGAUACUGGGAGUCUCGAGUUCGGGAGAGGUGAGUGGAACUGCGAGUGUAGAGGUGAAAUUCGUAGAUAUUCGCAAGAACACCAGUGGCGAAGGCGGCUCACUGGCCCGAUACUGACGCUGAGGUGGCGAAA
rnacentral:rRNA from 1 species